rnacentral:rRNA from 1 species
UACGGAGGGUGCGAGCGUUAAUCGGAAUAACUGGGCGUAAAGGGCGCGCAGGCGGGCUUUUAAGCGAGGGGUGAAAUCCCCGGGCUUAACCUGGGAAUGGCAUUUGAGACUGGGAGUCUAGAGUACUUUAGGGGGGGGUGGAAUUCCACGUGUAGCGGUGAAAUGCGUAGAGAUGUGGAGGAACACCGAAGGCGAAGGCAGCCUCUUGGGAAGGUACUGACGCUCAUGCGCGAAAGCGUGGGGAGCAAACAGG